AUUGAACGCUGGCGGCAGGCCUAACACAUGCAAGUCGAGCGGAUGAAGGGAGCUUGCUCCUGGAUUCAGCGGCGGACGGGUGAGUAAUGCCUAGGAAUCUGCCUGGUAGUGGGGGAUAACGUCCGGAAACGGGCGCUAAUACCGCAUACGUCCUGAGGGAGCAAGUGGGGGAUCUUCGGACCUCACGCUAUCAGAUGAGCCUAGGUCGGAUUAGCUAGUGGGUGGGGUAAAUGCCUACCAAGGCGACGAUCCGUAACUGGUCUGAGAGGAUGAUCAGUCACACUGGAACUGAGCCACGGUCCAGACUCCUAGAGGGAGCAGCAGUGGGGAAUAUUGGACAAUGGGCGAGAGCCUGAUCCAGCCAUGCCGGAUAUGUGAAGAAGGUCUUCGGAUUGUAAAACGCUUUAAGUUGGGGGGAAGGGCAGUAAGUUAAUACCUUGCUGUUUUGACGUUACCAACAGAAUAAGCACCGGCUAACUUCGUG
rnacentral:rRNA from 1 species